CGGGCGGGUGAGUAACACGUGGAUAACCUACCUAUAAGACUGGGAUAACUUCGGGAAACCGGAGCUAAUACCGGAUAAUAUUUUGAACCGCAUGGUUCAAAAGUGAAAGACGGUCUUGCUGUCACUUAUAGAUGGAUCCGCGCUGCAUUAGCUAGUUGGUAAGGUAACGGCUUACCAAGGCAACGAUGCAUAGCCGACCUGAGAGGGUGAUCGGCCACACUGGAACUGAGACACGGUCCAG
rnacentral:rRNA from 1 species